AGAUUGAACGCUGGCGGCAUGCUUUACACAUGCAAGUCGAGCGGCAGCAUGACGUGUAGCAAUACACGUUGAUGGCGAGCGGCGAACGGGUGAGUAAUACAUCGGAACGUGUCCAGUCGUGGGGGAUAACCAGUCGAAAGAUUGGCUAAUACCGCAUACGAUCUACGGAUGAAAGCGGGGGCUCGCAAGAACCUCGCGCUAUUGGAGCGGCCGAAUGUCCGAUUAGCUAGUUGGCGGGGUAAAGGCCACCAAGGCGACGAUCGGUAGCUGGUCUGAGAGGAUGAUCAGCCACACUGGAACUGAGACACGGUCCAGACUCCUACGGGAGGCAGCAGUGGGGAAUUUGGACAAUGGGCGCAAGCCUGAUCCAGCCAUGCCGCGUGAGUGAAGAAGGCCUGGUGUAAGCUCUUCGACGGGACGAAACGGUCCGUGCUAACACCGACGGACUAAUAGACGUACGUACGGAGAAGAAAGACACCGGACUAACUAACG
rnacentral:rRNA from 1 species